CAGGAAAAUAGGAGAUCAGUCUCAAAUCUGUCUCCCCUACCAACUGAAAUUGAGGGCUUUAUGUAUCAGGAGGAGGAAUGAUUCUCCCAACGUUCACUUAUUCUGUUUGAGUCCUCGAUCCUGCUCCAUCUCCCUGUUUUUCUGAGCUGGCUUAAAGCUCCGACUUCUCUUCUGGAGGAUGCUGCCUACCUUUGGCAAAGGAAAUUUCAGAAGACCCAUCAUGGAAGGAUGGGGUGGUUAAAAGUUCUUCCUUUUUGUUAUAGUUCAAUUUCUGUUCAUUUAUAAUUCAAACAUACACAACAUAAAUGGAAGCUGAACUCACACACAAAACGGAUAGAAUUAUCUGGUAAAUAUUGGAGAACAAAGCUGAGGAAGGGCAGUGUGUGUGUGUGUGUGUGUGUGUGUGUGUGUGCAUGUGUGUGUGUGUUUAAUUAUCUUGAUAAUUAACAGAAAAACCAUUUCUUUGUCUGAGUACUUUGGAAAAGGUGGCUCACUAUACCCAGCUUUCACAGGACAGAAACAUUUUUAAUUUAUCUAACCACAGGGAGUCAAGUUUUAUGGGGCCUGAAGUGGUCCAUCUUGAAGAGGUACCCUUUAAGAAAAACAACAAAAAUUUACAUAUCAAAAAUUAGAAACAAAAAUGAAUAUAUGUUUGGAAACAGAAAAUAAAUUGCAACAAAAUACAAUUAAAAAAACAAUACAUACAUUAAGCAUCACUUAAGACAGAAAAAUAGCAUAAUAUUUUAUUAAUUGCCCAAUAAACCUCUCUAAUAGAUGCGUUUUCCCUAUUUUUUGGCUUCAUACACUGGAAAACCAUACAAAAUUAAGUGUAACACAAGAGGAAUUCAAAUACAGUUUUAAAUUAUUGCCAUAUUAUAUUGAGCUACCUAAAUGUAUAAUCAAACUACUCCAAUACUACAUAUAUUGACUAAGUUGAUGGGUGUUUGUAAGAAUUAUGUCACUUGAGCACUUAUUUUCAGUGUAUUGCUGCGUUGUUAGCAGUUUUGUGUGCUGUUUCAUCUAGAGCCACUCAUCUUUAUUUUAUAUUAUUUUUUAUUUUAUUGUUGAGACAGGGUCUCUCGAGGUUGCCCAGGCUAGCAACUACUGGGCUGAAGUGAUCCUCCAGCCUCAGCCUCCUGAGUAACUGGAAUGAGAGGCUUAAGCCACUGCACCUGGCUAAUAACUGCUCAACUUUAUAAGGACACAAUAUGUCAGACACUGUAAGUGAUCUGACAUAUUGGGAAGUACUCUGCAGUAUGCCAAGAGACAUGAUCGCUAUUUGUAAAACUCCUAGAGUUUAUAAAGUAUGAACACAGGAAUUAGAUAAAUUUUAUCUUGCAUGAUUCUCAUCCAACAACAGAAAAAAUAUAGUGUAUUUACCUCUGUACAAUCUGCAUUAUUAAGUAUAUUCCUGAGAGGAAAGAAUAGCCAUUUUGCUUAAGUAAUGAUAAGGGAAUUCUCUGCUUCUAAUUCCACAUUUCUGAAGAUUAGAAGAAUUUUCCACAGACUAGUUCUCGCUUCAUCUUUUUAAAUCAUUUCUUCUUUUCUACUGUGCGCAUACCUCAGGGCUGGGUGCUUUGGGACACACUCAUAUCACAACAUGAUUUUUGGUCUUGCCCCUAUGUGUCACAAUGCCAGGUGAACAGCAGAAGUUUUCUAGAAGUGAUUCUUUCGAAGAAAUGCCUCAUUACACACAGAAGUGACUGCCAACUCCAUCCCCCAAAUGCCAGACACCAGGGUAAGCAUGAGGAGGGAAAGUCUGAGCGAAGCAGCAAUCUUAACCAAUUGCAGCUCAAAGUUUGCAAAUUUUACAAAAUUAGAUGGUUGUGUGAACAUCUUGCUAGGGUGCUUCCCAGGACUUUGGAAUGAGCCAUGGAAAGAAGGGCCAUGAAUCUUUAAGCUCCCAUAGCUUCUCAGUCAAAUUCUUCUGCACUUAACCUAACUUGAUCUUUUAAAAUGGAACGGUUGCUUUGAUUUAUCAUGGAUUAAAUCAUACAUAUUAAUCAUAUAAAUUAAAGGCAUUUAUUCUGUCUUAACAUCUAUAAAGGCCUGGCAUGGUGGCUCACACCUGUAAUCACAGCAUUUUGGGCAGCCAAGGCGGGCAGAUCACUUGAGGUCAGGAGUUCAAGACCAGCCUGGCCAACAGAGUGAAACCCCAUCUCUACUAAAAAUACAAAAAAAUUAGCCUGGAGUGGUGGUGGGUGCCUGUAAUCCCAGCUACUCAGGAGGCUGAGGCAGGAGAAUCGCUUGGACCCAGGAGGCGGAGAUUGCAGUGAGCCGAAAUUGUGCCAUUGCACUCUAGUCCAGGUAACAAGGGAGAAACUCCACCUAAAAAAAAAGCAAAAACAAAAACAAAAUCUAUAAGCAUAUUUGCAAACAUAUUGGAAAACAUGGAAAAAACAAUGAAAAGGCAUUUCAGUCAUAUAGCAAAAUAGCUGAUGUGUGUUAUGUCAAUAGCUUUCUUCUCACUUUGUUCUGUCUGCUUCCUAUACUUAGCAAUAAGAAAAUACCGUAAUUAUUUCACUUACCUGCCCCUCUGUUCUUAAGUAUCUCUUUUUCCUCUAAUUUUGUUAUGUAAAAGGUAUGGUUUAGAAUGUGCCAAUCAGACCUCAACUUUCCAUUGUGGAGUAUGCAAGGCCACAGAGAUUUCGUACAACUACGAUGGGACAAAUAAAUACAAAUUUGUGAACAAAACUAAAGUAUCUGUGAAUCAGUUCAAAUAUCUACAAAUAAGAAGUCAUCUAUUUUCUGAAACUACAUACUAACUUAAACUUCACAGUUUUUUCUUUUUUUAUUAUUAUUAUUAUUAUACUUUAAGUUUUAAGGUACAUGUGCACAAUGUGCAGGUUUGUUACAUAUGUAUACAUGUGCCAUGCUGGUGUGCUGCACCCAUUAACUCGUCAUUUAGCAUUAGGUAUAUCUCCUAAUGCUAUCCCUCCCCCUUCCCUCCACCCCACAACAGUCCCCCGUGUGUGAUGUUCCCCUUCCUGUGUCCACGUGUUCUCAUUGUUCAAUUCCCACCUAUGAGUGAGAACAUGCGGUGUUUGGUUUUUCGUCCUUGCGAUAGUUUACUGAGAAUGAUGAUUUCCAAUUUCAUCCAUGUCCUUACAAAGGACGUGAACUCAUCAUUUUUUGUGGCUGCAUAGUAUUCCAUGGUGUAUAUGUGCCACAUUUUCUUAAUCCAGUCUAUCAUUGUUGGACAUUUGGAUUGGUUCCAAGUCUUUGCUAUUGUGAAUAGUGCCACAAUAAACAUAUGAAACUUCACAGUUUUUUCUACUCCUCAUUUAUUAAUUCAACAAAUAUUUGCUGUACAUGGACCCUACAGCAUGGUGGACCAGAUAGCCAUGAUUCAAGUAAUUAAACAGGCCAGGCACAGUGGCUCAUGCCUGUAAUCCCAGCACUUUGGGAGGCUGAGGCAGGAGGAUCGCUUGAGGUCAGGAGUUCGAGACCAGCCAUGGCCAACAUGAUGAAGCCCCAUCUACCCCAUCUCUACAAAAAAUACAAAAAUUAGCCGGGCAUGGUGGCGCAUGCCUGUAAUCCCAGCUACUCAGGAGGCUGAGGCAGGAGAGUUGCUUGAACCUGGGAGGCAGAGGUUGCAGUGAGCCAAGAUCUCACCACUGCACUCCAGCCUGGGUAACAGAGCAAGACUCUGUCUCAAAAAAAAAAAAAAAAGUAAUCAAACAAAUAAGCAUUAUAAUGGCAAACUGUGAUCUGUGCUACGCAGGAAACAUUGUGAGGAUAAAAUAACAGGGAGAUCUAAUCUACUGUAUUUUUCACUGGGCAAGAAGAGACAAGGACAGAGAAGGUUUCCUUGAGAAAAUGGCAUUUAAUUUGGGCCUAAAGUGUGAAUUGCUGUUAACACAGUUAAUAAGAGGAGGAAACAGGUAUUGCAGGUAGAGGGUGUAGUAUGUGAGAAGGUCAUAAGAAAGCAAGGAGUAGCAUCAUUCGAAGAACUAAAAGAACGUUUGUAUGCACAAUGAGCAAGGAGGGGCACAGCACAGGACAAAGCUAGAAAUCAGGCAGGUCACAUCAUACAGACACUUCCAGGAUUUGGGACAAGUGAUAACAGCGUUUUAAACAAAGGGGAGCACAGUCAGAUUUAAACCUUAAAAAAACAUACUCCUGAGAUAGAAAGAAGAUGGAAAACUUGGGAGAAGUGAUACUUCCCUAUCAUUUUUAUCACUUGGACAAUUACCAUGUUCAUGUUUUAAUAUUUAUAAAAUAACAACGAAUACAUUUUAUUCCUAAGAGGGAGUGCAAACUAAAACAAAUGAACCUUGUUAUAUUUCAAAAGAAUAACAUAAACACGCAGGAGGGCGUAGGGGCAGGAAAGGGCAAUUCAAGUACAGGCGUACUUCACUUUAUUGUGCUUCCCUUUAUUGCACUUCCAGAUACUGUGUUCUUUACAAACAGAAGGUUUGUGGCAACCCUGACUCAAGCAAGUCUAUCCAGCACCAUUUUCCCAACAACAUGUACUCACUUUAUGUUCCUGUAGCACACUUCAGUAACUCCUGCAAUAUUUCAGAAUUCUUCAGUGUUAUUAUAUCUGUGUUGAUCUGUGAUCAGUAACCUUUGAUGUAACUACUGUAGUGGUUUUGGGGCACCAUGAGCUAUGCCCAUAUAAUACAGUGAACUUAAUCAAUAAAUGUCGUGUGUGUUUUCACUGCUCCACUGAUCAGCCGUUCCCUGUCUUUCUCCAUCUCCUCAGGCCUCCCUACUCCCUGAGACAGGACAAUAUUGAAGCUAGGGCAAGUAAUAACCUUGCUAUGGCCUCCAAGUGCUCAAAUGAAAGGAAGAGUCCCAUGUCUCUCUCUUUAAAUCAAAAGCUAGAAAUGGUUAAGCUUAGUGAGGAAGGCCUGUCAAAAGCUGAGACAGGUCAAAUGCUUGGCCUCUUGUGCAAACAGCUAGCCAAGCUGGGAAUGCAAAGGAAAAAUUCUUGAAGAAAAUUAAAAGUACUACUCCAGUGAACACAUGAAUGAUAAGAAAACAAAGCAGCCUUAUUGAGAUAGAGAAAGUUUUAGUGGUUUGGAGAGAAGAUCAAAUCAGCCGAAACAUUCCCUUAAGCUAAAGCCUAAUCCAGGGCCAGUCCCCGACUCUCUUCAAUCCCAGGAAGGCUGAGAGAAGUGAGGCAGCUGCAGAAGGAAAGUUUGAAGCUAGCAGAUGUUGGCUUAAGAGUUUAAAAAAAAGAAGCCAUCUUCAUAACAUAGUAGUACAAUGUAAACCAGAAAGUGCUGAUGGAGAAACUACAGCAAGUUAUCCAGAAGAUCUGGCUAAGAUCAUUGAUGAAGGGGGCUACACUCAACAACAGAUUUUUCAGUGUAGAUGAAACAGCCUUCUGUUGGAAGAAGAUACCAUCUAGGACUUUCAUAGAUAGAGGGAUGUCAAUGCCUGGCUUCAAAGCUUCAAAAGACAGGCUGACUCUUGUUAGGAGAUAAAGCAGCUGAUGACUUUAAGUUGCAGCCAAUGUUCAUUUAUCAUUCUGGAAAUCCUUAAGAAUUACUCUUAUAAAUGGAACAACAAAGUCUGGAUGACAGCACAUCUGUGUACAGCAUGGUUUACUGAAUAUUUAAGUCCACUGUUGAGACCUACUGCUCAGGAAGAGUCUUCUUUCAAAAUAUUACUGCUCAUUGACAAUACACCUGGUUACCCAAGAGCUCUCAUGGAGACAUACAUGAAGAUUAAUGUUUUCAUGCUGGCUCACCCAACAUCCAUUCUGCAGUUCAUGGAUCAAGAAUUCAUUGUGACUUCCAAGUUUUUUAAUUCAAGAAAUAUAUGUCGUGAGAAAAAGCUCAAUAUCACUGAUCAUUAGAGGAAUGAAAAUCAAAACCACAAUGAGAUACCAUCUCACACCAGUCAGAAUGGCUAUUACUAACAAACCAAAAAAAAAAAAAAUAAUAAAAACACAGAUGCUGGCGAGGUUGUGGAGAAAUAGGAAUGCAUUUAUACUGUUCACUGUUGAUGGGAGUGUAAAUUAGUUCAACCAUUGUGGAAGACAGUAUGGCAAUUUCUCAAAAACCUGGAGGCAGAAAUACCAUUUGACCCAGCAAUCCUGUUACUGAAUAUAUACCCAAAAUAAUAUAAAUUAUUCUAUUAUAAAGGCACAUGCAUGUCUUUAUUCAUUGCAGCACUAUUCACAAUAGCAAAGACAUGAAUCAACCUAAACACCCAUCAAUGAUAGAGUGGAUAAAGGAAAUGUGGUACAUAUACACCAUGGAGUCCCUAUGCAGCCAUACAAAGGAACGAGGUCAUGUCCUUUGAAGGAACAUGGAUGGAGCUGGAAGCCAUUAUCCUUAACAAACUAGCGCAGGAACAGAAAAUCAAAUACCUUAGGUUCUCACUUGUAAGUAGGAGCUGAAUGAUGAGAACACAUGGACACAUGGGGGAAACAACACAUACUGGGACCUGUCUGAGGGUAGCAAGAGAAGGGAGAGCAUCAGGAAGAAUAGCUACUGGAUGCUGGGCUUAAUACCUAGGUAAUGGGAUAAUUUGUGCAGCAAACCACCAUGGCACAGGUUUACCUAUGUAACAAACCUGCACAUCCUGCACAUGUACCCCUGAACUUAAAAUAAAAGUUGGAAAUUUUUUUAAAAAAGAAAGAAAUAUGUGUCAUAAGCCCAUAGCUGCCAUAGUUAGUGAUUCCUCUAAUGGAUGUGAACAAAGUAAAUUGAAAGCAUUUUGGAAAUGAUUCAUCAUUCUAGGAUGCCAUUAACAACAUUCGUGAUGCAAGGAACAAAGUCAAAAAAAUCAACAUUAAAAGGAGUUUAGAAGAAGUUUAUUACAGUCCUCAUAGAUGAGUUCGAGGUAUUCAAGACAAGUGGAGGAAGUAACUACAGAUGUGGUGGAAAUAGCAAGAGAACUAGAAUUAGAAGUGGAGCCUGAGAUGUGACUGUAUUAUUGCAAUUUCAUGAUAAAACUUGAAUGGAUGAGGAGUUGCUUCUUAUGGAUGAGCAAAGAAAGGGAUUUCUAGAGAUGAAUCUACUCCUGGUGAAGAUAUGUGAACAUUAUUGAAAUGACAAUAAAAGGUUUAGAAGAUUGCAUGAACUUAGCUGAUAAAGCAGCAGCAGAGUAUUUUCCUUUCAUGAAAAAAAAACAGUCAAUCAGUGUGGCAAACUUCAUUGUUGUCCUGUUUUAAGAUAUUGCCAAAGCCAUUCCAAUCUUCAGCAACCACCACCCUGAUCAGUCAGCAGCUAUCAACGUUGAGGCAAGACCCUCAUCCAACAAAAAGACUAUGACUUGCUGAAGGUUCGGAUGACUGCCAGCAUUUUUUAGCAAUAAAGCUUUUUUGUUUUUUUGUUUGUUUGGUUUUUGUUUUCUGAGACGGAGUCUUGCUGUGUCACCAAGGCUGCAGUGCAGUAGCACAAUCGGCUCACUGCAAGCUCCGCCUCCCAGCUCCAGCGAUUCUCCUGCCUCGGCCUCCCAAGUAGCUGGGAUUACAAGUGCAUGCCACCACAGCUAGUUAAUUUUUGUAUUUUUAAUAGAAAUGGGGUUUCACCAUAUUGGCCAGGCUGGUCUCAAACUCCUGACCUCAAGUGAUCCACCCACCUCGGCCUCCCAAAGUAUUGGGAUUACAGGUAUGAGCCACCGUGCUCGACCAAUAAAGUGUUUUUUAAUGAAAAUACGUACAUUGGGUUUUUUUGGACACAAUGUUAUUACACAUUUAAUAGACUACAGUAUAGUGUACACGUAACUUUUAUAUGCACUGGGAAAACAAAAACUUUAUAAGACUCACUGUAUUGCGAUAUUCAUUUUAUUGUGGUGGUUCUGGAACCAAACAUGCAAUAUCUCCGAGAUCUACUUACAACUUUUUAACACGGCAUUUUGACACUAUACUUUCAUUCUAAAGAAAAUGAGCUGUAGUUAGAUAUUUAACAUAUGACAUUUAGUGUAUAUAUUUUAAAAGAGGGAGAGAGGUAAAGAAAUAGAUUAAGGGUAUAGGUGUGCAUAUGUGUGCAUACAUACAUAUUUCUCAGCACUGUAUUCUGAGAAAUCCUAGAAGUAAUCACCUCCCAAAAGCAAUGAAAACGUGCCCAGAUUUUGACUUCUAACUACAAUUUUCAUUGAAAAGAACCAGUGCUCUUUGGAGAAAUGACUAAUUCCAGCCUGGGACCCAGAAAGUAUAAGAUGAACCAUAUCUUAUUAUGGCAGAAAGUAAGGAAUUGGUUCAAAAAUGAUAAGAAUGUCAAAAAAAAACCACAGGAGCCAAUUUGAAAAUGUCUUAUGUGUCCAAAUCUGGAAAAAAUUCAGCAGGAAAAUAAUUAUAUUAAAUGAAAGCCCAUUAAAAAAAAUACAAAUGCAUGAAUUCAUACUAAUAUAGAAAAUACAGGAAGAGCCUGGGCAACACAGUGAGACUCUGUAUCUACAAAAUAAAAAAAUUUUUUUUUUAAUUACUCGGGUGUAGUAGUGCAUGCCUGUGGUCCCAGCUACUUGGGAGGCUGAGGUGAGAGUGUUGCUUGAACUCAGGAAGUCAAGGCUGCAGUGAGUCAUGUUUGUGCCACUGCACUCCAGCCCAGGUGACAGAGUAAGAUUCUGUCUCAAAAAAAAAAAAAAGAAAGAAAGAAAAGAAAAAAAGCUUUUAUGUCACAAAUCUGAUAAUCAACUUUGGCAAAAGUCGUCAACGAUACUUAAACUAGUGGGUGAAUCAGAGAUCUACAUAGUCCUACAGUAUACUAUCUCCCCAGAAAAUACUUGCUAAUUAAAAGGAGAAAAAUAGAAACUUUGCAAUGCAGAACACUUUCACUGAGUAAUCAAAGUUAACAUCACCAGUAUUAAGACAAAUCAAAUUCGUGUGUCUCAUGAUACAAUGCACUGAGAAGUAAGCAAUAUCACUUUUGUAUUACAGUAUUCCAGCCAAAAAUGCAUAACCCAAAUCUAAUCAUAAGGAAACAUCAUGAAACCCAAACUGAGAAGCAUUCUACAAAAUAACUGGCCUGUAUUCUUUUAAAAUGUCAAGGACAUGAGCAACUACUGCAGAUUGAAGAAUUAGUCCAGAUAAAAUGAGACUAAAGAAAUAUGACAACUAAGUACAGCAUGUGAUCCUAGACUGGGUACUGAACCCAGAUUUUUUUCUUCAUUUUAUUUUUAAGUUUUUUCUUUUUUAAAAUUUCUAUUUUAGGUAUGAGGGUACAUGUGAAGGUUUGUUACAUAGAUAAACACAUGUCACGGAGGUUUGUUGUACAUAUGAUUACAUCACUCAGGUAUUAAGCUCAGUACCCAAUUUUUUCUUUUUUAAUUUUUAUUUCAAAAUUUAAAACGACAGCUCCUCAAAAGUCACUGUUUAAAUAUUUUUUUAGGCCGGG
rnacentral:lncRNA from 1 species